UACGUAGGGUGCGAGCGUUAAUCGGAAUUACUGGGCGUAAAGCGUGCGCAGGCGGUUUUGUAAGCCAGAUGUGAAAGCCCCGGGCUCCAACCUGGGAAUGGCAUUUGGGACUGCAAGGCUUGAGUGCGGCAGAGGAGACUGGAAUUCCUGGUGUAGCAGUGAAAUGCGUAGAUAUCAGGAGGAAUACCGAUGGCGAAGGCAGGUCUCUGGGCUGACACUGACGCUCAUGCACGAAAGCGUGGGGAGCAAACAGG
rnacentral:rRNA from 1 species